AGCUUGUCACAGUAGUGCCAAAUCCCCGCCGAAAUGUGUUUGCUUGUAUGACAACAUUUGUUUUAGAGAGUAGAAUAAUAUUUGUAAAAACAAAUAAAGGGAGAUAAUUCAUUAUGCUCCGGACAAAAAUUUACUUUGAAAUUAAAUAAAGGGAUAUAAUUCAAACACCAAGGUAGAUAGAGUUGUGGUUCUUGGUCACUGCACUUCUCCUAGUUGCCAUCUGUUAAUAUUUCAAGUUUCAAGUAAAUCCCUUCAGUAGAUUUAGAGUUAUGCUCCGGACAAAAAUUUACAUUAAAAUCAUAUAAAAGGGGAGAUAAUUCAAAAACUAAGGUAGAUAGAGUUGUGGUUCUUGGUCACUGCACUUCUCCUAGUUGCCAACUGUGUAUAUUUCAAGUUUCAAGUAAAUCCCUUUAGUAGAUUUAGAGUUAU